GCAUGAUGGUCUAGUGGCAAGGGUGUUUGAUUUCCACUCGAAAGGUUCUGGGUUCGAACCCCAAUGUCCGCUGUUUA